rnacentral:rRNA from 1 species
ACGAACGCUGGCGGCGUGCCUAAUACAUGCAAGUAGAACGCACAGUUUAUACCGUAGCUUGCUACACCAUAGACUGUGAGUUGCGAACGGGUGAGUAACGCGUAGGUAACCUGCCUGGUAGCGGGGGAUAACUAUUGGAAACGAUAGCUAAUACCGCAUAAUAUUAAUUAUUGCAUGAUAAUUAAUUGAAAGGUGCAAUUGCACCACUACCAGAUGGACCUGCGUUGUAUUAGCUAGUAGGUGAGGUAACGGCUCACCUAGGCGACGAUACAUAGCCGACCUGGGAGGGUGAUCGGCCACACUGGGACUGAGACACGGCCCAGACUCCUACGGGAGGCAGCAGUAGGGAAUUUUCGGCAAUGGACGAAAGUCUGACCGAGCAACGCCGCGUGAGUGAAGAAGGUUUUCGGAUCGUAAAGCUCUGUUGUAAGAGAAGAACGGGUGUGAGAGUGGAAAGUUCACACUGUGACGGUAUCUUACCAGAAAGGGACGGCUAACUACGUG